rnacentral:rRNA from 1 species
AUGGUGGAGACAAAAAAACAUAUUGUCUAUCCCUUGAUUUAUCGACUUUUGAAGCUAGCACUAGUAUUGCCUGUUGCCAUUGCUACAGUUGAGAGAUCUUUUUCAGCUAUGAGAAUUGUGAAGACAUAUUUGCGCAAUCGUCUUGGUGAUGACUCCUUGAAGUACAACCUUAUUUGUUAUGUGGAGAAAAGCGAAAUGAGGAAGGUUACUAAUGAUGCGGUAAUUGAUCGCUUUGAAGCCAUGAAAGAACGUAGGAAACCAUUUUAG